rnacentral:rRNA from 1 species
AGACGGGGGGGGCGAGCGUUGUUCGGAAUUACUGGGCGUAAAGGGCGCGCAGGCGGCUUGGGAAGUCUUGGGUGAAAGCCCCCAGCUCAACUGGGGAAUGGCCUGAGAAAACACUAGGCUGGAGUGCUCGAGAGGGAAGCGGAAUUCCCGGUGGAGAGGUGAAAUGCGUAGAUAUCGGGAGGAACACCAGAGGCGAAGGCGGCUUCCUGGACAGACACUGACGCUGAGGCGCGAAAGCUAGGGGAGCAAACGGCAUUAGAUACCCCGGUAGUCC